rnacentral:rRNA from 1 species
ACUUGGAAACAGGUGCUAAUACCGGAUAACAACAAUAGCUGCAUGGCUAUUGCUUAAAAGGCGGCGAAAGCUGUCGCUAAAGGAUGGACCCGCGGUGCAUUAGCUAGUUGGUAAGGUAAUGGCUUACCAAGGCGACGAUGCAUAGCCGAGUUGAGAGACUGAUCGGCCACAUUGGGACUGAGACACGGCCCAAACUCCUACGGGAGGCAGCAGUAGGGAAUCUUCCACAAUGGGCGAAAGCCUGAUGGAGCAACGCCGCGUGAGUGAAGAAGGUUUUCGGAUCGUAAAGCUCUGUUGUUGGUGAAGAAGGAUAGAGGUAGUAACUGGCCCCUAUUUGACGGUAAUCAACCAGAAAGUCACGGCUAACUACGUGCCAGCAGCCGCGGUAAUACGUAGGUGGCAAGCGUUGUCCGGAUUUAUUGGGCGUAAAGCGAGCGCAGGCGGAAAGAUAAGUCUGAUGUGAAAGCCCCCGGCUUAACCGAGGAAUUGCAUCGGAAACUGUGUUUCUUGAGUGCAGAAGAGGAGAGUGGAACUC